rnacentral:rRNA from 1 species
UACGGGGGGGGCAAGCGUUGUUCGGAAUUACUGGGCGUAAAGGGCUCGUAGGCGGCCAACUAAGUCAGACGUGAAAUCCCUCGGCUUAACUGGGGAACUGCGUCUGAUACUGGCGAGCUUGAGUGCAGGAGAGGAACGCGGAAUUCCAGGUGUAGCGGUGAAAUGCGUAGAUAUCUGGAGGAACACCGGUGGCGAAGGCGGCGUUCUGGACUGUAACUGACACUGAGAAACGAAAGCCAGGGUAGCAAACGGG